rnacentral:rRNA from 1 species
UCCAGGGCUACACACACGCUACAAUGGUCGGCACAAUAGGUUGCCAAGUCGUGAGACGGAGCCAAUCCUCCAAAGCCGGCCUCAGUUCAGAUUGCAGGCUGCAACUCGCCUGCAUGAAGUUGGAGUUGCUAGUAAACGCAGGUCAGCUAUACUGCGUUGAAUACGUUCCCCGGGGGAACU